AGAAUCCCCUCCAAGCCCCAUUAGAGACUACAAUGGAGUCUAAUAGGCUUGGAAGGUGGUCUUUCUAACAGAGGCCAUCUCAGCAUCCAUUAGAUAGCCCCUGCUGGAAACAGUCGCCUCCAGACCCCAGUGGAGACUACAAUUGAGGGCUAAUGGGCCAUGGAGGGGGGGUCAUUCUAGCAGAGGCUAUCUCAGUGUCCUUUAGAGAGUGUGUUAGAAAGAAUCUCCUCCAGGCCCCAUUAGAGACUACAAUGGAGUCUAAUGGGGCCUUGAGGGGGGUCUCUCCAACACUCUGGUUCCUAUUCACAAUAUAGCAACACAACAUAGCUCGCUGAUACCUAGGCCAAGUUGGCUCCUCUUAACUUAAUUACUGUUGCUAGCUGGCAGUCUGUGAGCUUGCUGGAAGGUUGUGGGCUUGCUGGCUGCGGCUGGCAGGCUGUGGCUUCCUGGCAGGCUGUGGGCUUGCUGGAAGGCAG